CGCCAGGGGGCGCUGUUGAGCCGCGUUCGGUUGCCGGAAGUGGCCGAAAGGCUCCGAAGUUUUCCGAAGUGAUUCGGGCGGCUCCGAAUGGAACCGAAGGGUUCCGAAGUGCUGCUCGCCCGCCGGAAGUGGUCCGAUGAGACCGGAAGUGGUGCUUAAAACCACCCGAUGUGGUCCCGAGGGAGCCGAAGGGUUCCGAACGGACCGGAAGUGCUUCGAAAAGGCCGGAAGUGGCGCCCGGACUUCGCGAAGUGUUCCGAAAGGACCCGAAGUGAUCCGAAGUGAGCGGAAGUGCCCUCAUCUGUUGCCGAACUGUUCCGAAGGGACCGGAAGUGCCCCGAUCGCAUCCCGAAUUGUUCCGAAGGGACCGGAAGUGACUCGAAUUGUUCCGAAGAGACCGGAAGUGCCCGCAUCUGUUGCCGAACUGUUCCGAAAGGACCGGAAGUGCCCCGAUCUCAUACCGAACUUUUCCGAAGGGACCGGAAGUGAGCCGAAUAUUUCCGAAAAGACCGGAAGUGCCCAGAACUGAUGCUGAAUUUCUCCGAAGCGACCGGAAGUGCGCCGAAUAUUAACGGAAAGACCGGAAGUGGUCCGAUCUGCCCCCGAACGGCUCCGAAGCGUUCCGAAUUGCUCCGAACUCACCGGAAGUGCUCCGACGGGACCGGAAGUGCAACGAAAGAACCGGAAGUGCCUCGAAACCCACCCGAAGUUUUCCGAAUGUCCCCGAAAGCUUCAGAGGGGACUGGAAGUUGCCCGAGCAGACCGGAAGUGGUCCGAUUUGCCCCCGAUCUGCUCCGAAGUGUACCGAAGUGCUCCCGGGAGACCGGAAGUGCUCCGAGAUGACCGGAAGUAACACCAACCCCCCUCCCGAACUUCUCCGACGUAGUCCGAAAAGACCGGAAGUGGUCCGAAACCAUCCGAACUAUUCCGAAUGGACCCGAAGUCUUCCGAGAAGACCGGAAGUGGUUUUAAGGACCGGAAGUACCCCCCACCCCCCUCCGAACCGCUCCGAAUUGUUGCGAAUGGACCGGAAGCGGGCCGAAAUGACCGGAAGUGCUCCGAAAUCCUCCGAAAUGUUCCGAAUAUUCCCGAAGUUCUCCUCAUUCCCCCCGGACGGUUGGUAUGUGUUCCGGAAUUGCUCUUAAAGAAACGGAAUGGUCCCCAUUUCCUCUCCGAAGUGUUCCGAAGCGCCUCAAAGUGUGACGAAGUGACCGGAAGUGCUUCGAAGUCACCCGAACCCCUCCGGACCGGAAGCGGCCCUAUCCUUCCCCCCCCCAUCCCGCCCUUAAAAUGCCCGGAUGUGAACCGAAGUGACCGGAAGUGCCUCCGUUUCCCGCCUUUCGGACCCCCCCACCGAACUGCUCCGAAGAGACCCGAAAUGCCUCGAAGCUCUGAGAAAUGCUCGGAUGUUACGCGGAGAGACCGGAAGUGCCGCCAUGUUUUCUCGCGAAUUGCCCCGAAGCGACCGGAAAUGCUCCGAAGUUCACCCGAAGUUUUCCGAAGUUUCCCGAGGCGACCGGAAUGGCCCGUAAAGGCGGGCGGAAGUGGCCCGAAAAGGCGGGCGGAUGUGUCCCGAAAAGGCGGGCGGAAGUGGCCCGUAAAGGCGGGCGGAAGUGGCCCGUAUAGGCGGGCGGAAGUGGCCCGAAAAGGCGGGCGGAAGUUGCCCGAAAAGGCGGGCGGAAGUGGCGCCGGAGCCAUCCGGCUGCGGCUCGUGGCCGAAUUGUGCGCGGCGGUGGGCGAUGCUGUGGUAAAAGUGAUGACUUUCGGCGGAAACGUGAGGAAAAAAAGGUCGAAUGUGGUGCAGAUUGUGGCGAUUAUUGGCUGAAAGAUGAGAGAAAGUGACGGCAGCCGUCUGUCGUCGUGGAAAUGGUGAUUGUCGUUGGGAAGUGUGAGGAAAAAGGGCGGGUAUGGUGAAAGGUUGUUGAUAAAAUGAGGAUUUUGAGGGGAAUCUGUGGGAAAAUGGGGCUUUUUUGUACGGUUUUGAGGAAUAAAUGGGGAUUUUUAGGGGAAAUGUGAAGGGAAAUUGCGGGUUUUGGUCAAAAGGGGAGGAAAAAAUGGGGACUUUGAGGUGAAAUGUGAGGAAAAUGGCAGUUUUUGGUCAAAAGGUCAGGAAAAGUUGGGGAUUUUGGGGGGAAGUGUGAGGAAAAAUGUGAAUUUUGGGUCUAAUUUUGGGGGGAAAAUGGGAUUUUUGGGGUGAAAUGUGAGGGAAAAUGGUGGUUUUUGGUCAAAAGUUGUGGAAAAAAUGGGAUUUUGGGGGUGAAAUGUGAGAAAAGUUGGGGUUUGGGGUCAAAUUUUGGGGGAAAAAUUGGAUUUUUGGGGUGAAUUGUGAGGAAAAAGUGGGGUUUGGGGUCAAAUUUUGGGGAAAAAUGGGGAUUUUGGGGGAAAUGUGAGGAAAAAAUGGCUUUUUUUGGUCAGAUUUGGGGUAAAAAUGGGAUUUUUGGGGUGAAAUGUGAGGAAAAAUGGUGGUUUUUGGUCAAAAGUUGUGGAAAAAAAUGGGGUUUUUGGGUGAAAUGUGAGGAAAAAUGGCAGUUUUAUGUCAAAUUUGGGGUAAAAAUGGGGUUUUUGGGGUGAAAUGUGAGGAAAAAAUGGCAGUUUUUGGUGGGAUUUGGGGUAAAAAUGGGACUUUUGGGGUGAAAUGUGAGAAAAAAAGUGGGGUUUGGGGUCAAAUUUGGGGGGAAAAAUGGGAUUUUUGGGGUGAAUUGUGAGGAAAAAGUGGGGUUUGGGGUCAAAUUUUGGGGGAAAAUGGGGAUUUUUGGGGAAAUGUGAGGAAAAAAUGGUUAUUUUUGGUCAGAUUUGGGGUAAAAAUGGGGUUUUUGGGGUGAAAUGUGAGGAAAAAUGGCGGUUUUUGGUGGGAUUUGGGGUAAAAAUGGGGUUUUUGGGGU
ensembl:lncRNA